CCUACGGGGGGCAGCAGUAGGGAAUUUUCGACAAUGGGCGCAAGCCUGAACGAGCAAUGCCGCGUGAACGAGGAAGGUCUUCGGAUCGUAAAGUUCUGUUGAAGGGGAAAAAGAGCGGAGAGAGGAAAUGGUCUCCGAUUGAUAUUACCCUUCGAGGAAGUCACGGCUAACUACGUGCCAGCAGCCGCGGUAAUACGUAGGGUGCGAGCGUUAAUCGGAAUUACUGGGCGUAAAGGGAGCGCAGGCGGU
rnacentral:rRNA from 1 species